rnacentral:rRNA from 1 species
GACGAACGCUGGCGGCGUGCUUAACACAUGCAAGUCGAACGACGUGGCGAACGGGUGAGUAAGGCGUAAUCACCCUGCCCUUCAGAGGGGGAAAAACGUGAGAAACGACUGCUAAUACCACAUACUGAAGGAGGGGAUUGCGUCUGAUUGGCUAGGUGGAGGGGUAACGGCCCACCAAGGCGAUGAUCAGUAGGCGGUCUGAGAGGAUGAACGGCCACAUGGGGACUGAGACACGGCCCAGACUCCUACGGGAGACAGCAGUGGGGAAUCUUCCGAAAUGGAGGAAAGUCUGACGGAGCAACGCCGCGUGAGUGAUGACGGCCUUCGGGUUGUAAAGCUCUGUUAAUCGGGACGCGGUACCGGAAUAGAAAGCCACGGCUAACUACGUGCCAGCAGCCGCGGUAAUAC